rnacentral:rRNA from 1 species
ACUCCUACGGGAGGCAGCAGUGGGGAAUAUUGCACAAUGGGCGCAAGCCUGAUGCAGCAACGCCGUGUGAGUGAAGAAGGUUUUCGGUAUCGUAAAACUACUGUCCUAAGGGAAGAAACAAAAUAGACGGUACCUUAGGAGGAAGCCCCGGCCUAACUACGUGCCAGCAGCCGCGGUAAUACGUAGGGGCGAAGCGUUAUCCGGAAUCACUGGGCGUAAAGGGUGCGUAGGCGGCUUAGCAAGCCAGGGGUGAAAGGCAUUGGCUCAACCAAUGUAAGCCUUUGGAACUGUUAAGCUUGAGUGCAGGAGAGGUAAGUGGAAUUCCUAGUGUAGAGGUGAAAUUCGUAGAUAUUAGGAGGAACACCAGUGGCGAAGGCGACUUACUGGACUGUAACUGACGCUGAUGCACGAAAGCGUGGGUAGCGAACAGGAUUAGAUACCCUGGUAGCACAGA